AACCUAAAACGUCAGGUCGAGGUGUAGCGCAUGAAAGGGGAAGAAAUGGGCUACAUUCGCUGCUACAGCGAACACGAAAGGUGCACUGAAACGUACAUCUGAAGGAGGAUUUAGCAGUAAGCGGGGAAUAGAGCGUCCCGCUGAAAUCGGCCCUGAAGCGCGCACACACCGCCCGUCACUCUCCCCAAAAACACCUACUCAGUUAAUUAAAACCUAAUAAUUAUAGAGGGGAGGCAAGUCGUAACAUGGUAAGUGUACCGGAAGGUGCACUUGGGAUAUC
rnacentral:rRNA from 1 species